rnacentral:lncRNA from 1 species
UCCUGUUUAUGGCCUUGAUGUCAUUGAUGACUUAAGCCAAGAAAUCUUUGAUUUUGAUCUAGAUGACUCACUCAAUGCCGAUUUGUGCAAGUAUGAAGAGAUGGACAGCAGUAGCACAAAGACAGACCAGACAGUGAUUUGGGCAGUUUUUGCGAGUGAUUUGCCCAAAUCACUAGUGCAGACAGACCCCGACUUGCCCAAAUCACUGGAGCAGACAGACAUGACAGAGGGUGAUCUGCCCAAAUCAACAGGAGAUCUGCCCAAAUCAACCAGCAGACAGCAGACAGCAAACCAGAAGACAGCAACCACCCCGGAUCUGAAGACUCUGCCCGGACACCAUAAAUAUACCUACUUGGAGGCUGGAAAUACACUUCCAGUCAUAGUAUCCAAUCAACUCAGCCAGCAAGAAG